rnacentral:rRNA from 1 species
GUGGGGAAUAUUGGACAAUGGGCGCAAGCCUGAUCCAGCCAUACCGCGUGGGUGAAGAAGGCCUUCGGGUUGUAAAGCCCUUUUGUUGGGAAAGAAAUCCUGUCGAUUAAUACUCGGUGGGGAUGACGGUACCCAAAGAAUAAGCACCGGCUAACUUCGUGCCAGCAGCCGCGGUAAUACGAAGGGUGCAAGCGUUACUCGGAAUUACUGGGCGUAAAGCGUGCGUAGGUGGUGGUUUAAGUCUGCUGUGAAAGCCCUGGGCUCAACCUGGGAAUUGCAGUGGAUACUGGAUCACUAGAGUGUGGUAGAGGGAUGCGGAAUUUCUGGUGUAGCAGUGAAAUGCGUAGAGAUCAGAAGGAACAUCCGUGGCGAAGGCGGCAUCCUGGGCCAACACUGACACUGAGGCACGAAAGCGUGGGGAGCAAACAGGAUUAGAUACCCGUGUAGUCC